rnacentral:sRNA from 1 species
CGAGGACCAGCGUUUCAGCAGGUGGCCCCUGCCCAAGCUGUAAGCACUCAACAGCGGAUAUCGGGGCGCCUGUGGGGACAGCAGGAUGCCAGCAGACUGGCCCUGUCUGUGCCCAAAUGGGGGCCAUGUUUAGUUUCAGAACCAAAUAAUGAAGCUGGAAAACUGCGUCCAGGCCAACAAGACCAUCCAGAACCUCAGGUUCAACACUGAGGCCCGGCUGCGCACACAGGAGAUGGCCACCCUGCGGGAGAGUGUGCUCCAGCUGUGGAGUGAGGAGGGCCCGCGGACGCCGCUGGGCAGCUGGAAGGCGCUCCCAUCCCUGGUGGCUGCGGUGGAAGGCGUCCCUCAUAAAGCUCAGGGCCCUGCGGAGGCCAGGAGGGGUCCCAGAGAAGCCCCACAGCCAGGAGCAGGUGCAGCAGCUCACACCCUCACUGUUUAUGCAGAAAUAAACGUGCCGGCUUUGUACUCA